rnacentral:rRNA from 1 species
GAUAAACGCUAGCGGCAGGCUUAACACAUGCAAGUCGAGGGGCAGCAUAGAUUGUAGCAAUACAAUUGGUGGCGACCGGCGCACGGGUGCGUAACGCGUAUGCAACCUACCCAUCACAGGGGGAUAAUCCGGAGAAAUCUGGUCUAAUACCCCAUAACAUAUGGAUCGGCAUCGGUUCAUGUUGAAAUUUUCGGAGGUGACGGAUGGGCAUGCGUAGCAUUAGCUUGUUGGUGAGGUAACGGCUCACCAAGGCGACGAUGCUUAGGGGGACUGAGAGGUUUUCCCCCCACACUGGUACUGAGACACGGACCAGACUCCUACGGGAGGCAGCAGUGAGGAGUAUUGGUCAAUGGGCGCAAGCUUGAACCAGCCAUGCCGCGUGCAGGAUGACGGCUCUAUGAGUUGUAAACUGCUUUUGUACGAGGGUAAAGUGGGUUACGUGUAACCUUUUGAAAGUAUCGUACGAAUAAGGAUCGGCUAACUCCGUGCCAGCCGCCGCAGUAA